rnacentral:rRNA from 1 species
GCCUAAUACAUGCAAGUCGAACGGUCCUUCGGGACAGUGGCGGACGGGUGAGUAACGCGUGGGAACGUGCCCUUUGGUACGGAACAACUGAGGGAAACUUCAGCUAAUACCGUAUGUGCCCUUCGGGGAAAGAUUUAUCGCCAUUGGAGCGGCCCGCGUUAGAUUAGCUAGUUGGUGGGGUAAAGGCCUACCAAGGCAACGAUCUAUAGCUGGUCUGAGAGGAUGAUCAGCCACACUGGGACUGAGACACGGCCCAGACUCCUACGGGAGGCAGCAGUAGGGAAUCUUGCGCAAUGGGCGAAAGCCUGACGCAGCCAUGCCGCGUGAAUGAUGAAGGUCUUAGGAUUGUAAAAUUCUUUCACCGGGGACGAUAAUGACGGUAUCCGGAGAAGAAGCCCCGGCUAACUUCGUGCCAGCAGCCGCGGUAAUACGAAGGGGGCUAGCGUUGCUCGGAAUUACUGGGCGUAAAGGGAGCGUAGGCGGAUAGUUUAGUCAGAGGUGAAAGCCCAGGGCUCAACCUUGGAAUUGCCUUUGAUACUGGCUAUCUUGAGUGUGGGAGAGGUAUGUGGAACUCCGAGUGUAGAGGUGAAAUUCGUACAUAUUCGGAAGAACACCAGUGGCGAAGGCGACAUACUGGCCCAUUACUGA